rnacentral:lncRNA from 1 species
UGAUUAGGCGUUUCAACUCUGAUAAGCUUCUGCUUAAGACAGAAGGAGGAAAGAUUACUUUCAAUUUUGCACAUCCCAUUAUUUUUAAAGUGGUAAGAUGUUGGAGAUUAACUGAAUUCUUGGAAGCCACCCAAAUAUAAGUCAUUUGAGGUAGAUUUUCCAACACCAAAUCCUCUAACCUUAAACUCACUUGAUGCCCAAUCAUUUCAUGUCCAUUAAGACAAAAAAUACCUUCUACUUCACAAUUUCUUAUGGAUACAUUUUUCAAAGUGAGGAAAUGAUUAUGAAUCCCUUUUGGAUCCUGCAGGACAUCAAUAGAAAUGUAAAAAAUUCCAAACAAAAAAACAAAAAGGACCAAAUAACUAAUAAUUAUAAAAAUAAACACAAGACUACCUUCCUGCUUACGCUAAUAGGCUCUCUUGAAUCCGUAAGAACCGUCAAAGAACUCAUAGAAUCAUUAAAAGGAUAGGAACAUUUAUCACACUCAAACUCCUUCAAAGAUGGCCAAGUCACAGUGAGAGUGUUGGUAGCACAAAUGCUAACAAAAUUUGGUAAAUUAUAAAGAGAGAGUAUUUCCAAUGCUGACAAAUGAAUAUGAAUCUCCUCACAAUCCUGAUUAGCUAUGGGAUAUUGCCCAAACAUAUAGUUCAAUUGGCCACAAUCACGCACAGAGAGAAUUCUUAGGUGUGGAAAGAUAGCAUUCAAAUUCUCUUUGCCAUAUUCAUCCUCAAUGUCUAUAAUGUGCUCAAGUCCAUGACAUUGCUUAAUUCUCAAGAUUUCCAACAUCAAUGAUGAAGCAAUGGACGGUUUAAAAAGGUACUUUACCUUAUCAAAGCCUUUCAGUUCAAUCUCUAUUAUAUUUUGCAUAAUAAGAAAGGUCAAACCUUGUGGUUGUUUUGAAAGAUAUUCAACACUUUCAACUGGGGGAACAAAAUCUGAGUUCGAUAUCUGCAAUAUAUACACUAAAUUACUUUUUAAACCAAACUAAAUAAUUAUUGUUGCAAUUCAUUUCUAACAUAUUACUCGUAUAAAUUAAAAUUUUAAGAAAUACCACUAAUUGUUUAUUAAAUUAAUUGCAUUUUGUUUAGCCCAACGAGAAAAAAGAAUAAUUUCACAAAAGUAAUCUACUCCAACUAAUCUAUCCCAAUACUUUAAUAUUAAAACUUAUAGGUUGAAUUCAGGUCACCAAUAAGUUGUAGUUCUUAUAAGACAAUUAUUAAUUUUAGCUCAAACAUGAUCUUGCAAAAUUUUUGCUAAAUACAAAGCAAGUGAUGAAUAAUCAUACCUUGAUUGAAAUAUAAUCUUCGUGUCUAGCUUCCGAAGCAUUUGUUGAAGAAUUUAUCGUGAAAAACCCAACAUAUGUCCCAAUACCCAAUAAUAGUGUUCUCAAAGACGGACAUCUUACAGUAUAACUGUCUAGAAUGAUGCUACCCAGGUUACGAUCAAGUUGGAGUACUUCUAAAGCAGGAAGCUCAAUCUGAGUAUUAUUUUGUUGUUGCUGACAAAAAUUCUCUUUGAAAUUAUUUGGACUUGAAAAAUCUUUCAAAUCAGUUGUCUCUUUAUUUCUUAUAUCAUUCAAUUUCAUCGUGCCUCCAACAAAAGGGACAGGGAAUAUACGUUGCAAUAAGUCACAUUCACUGAUAUAUAAAUUUUUCAAACUCUGGAAGAUUGAAAUAUCACUCUGAAAGUCAUGGUCAUCCUCAACAACAUUUUCCUUCUGAUUUUGAUUGAUCCUUUCAUGAGUUAUUAUAUGCCUCAAACUAUUGCACUUUAUUAUGACCAAUUUUUCUAAAGAAGUCAAGGUCUUAGCUGUAGAUGCUGUAAAAAUUGAGCCUAACUUCGGACAAUCAUAUAUUCUAAGGCUUGUAAGGCUUGAUAGAGUUCCUAAAAAGCAAUUAUAUAUAAGAAAAAUAUCACUCAAGAUUUCAUAUAUACUUUGUGUGCAAGUUACAUUCUGAAUUUAAAAACAUUGGUUUCUUGAGACUAAAACCACAAUCCUAAACAUUAAAUGAUCGGUUAAUAAUGAUGAAAAGAAUCAUACAAAACAAUUUUCUUUAAAAUAUUCUAAAUUAUAAAAAAAAAAUUAAAAUGCAAAUAGAAAUGUCUUUAAUUUUGUCUGAGACAAAUUUCCCUGGCAGUGCAUUAACAAGUAAUUGGUUCAAAUAAAAGUAGAUUAUUAAUGUCGAGUUUGAACCUUACAAAUAGAAAAUAAUGAUCGUGAUGACACAAUGUACAACUAAUAUGCUUAAAUUUUUCAUAUACAAUAACAUAUUCACAAUUUUCACGUAACUUGUAAAUAACUUAACUUCAACUAAGCAACAACAGGUAGACUUACUAAUACACACUUAAACAUAUUUAGAAAUGCAAAAAGAAAAAUUUACCAGGGCUAUAGUUCACAACUGUUGUUGGUGGAGUUGAAGUUGAAGUGCUAUACAAAUGUGGAUGCUUACCUUCCUCAAUGAUUUCAUCAAGUUCUUCUUUUUUACCAUGGUCUGCUGAUGGAACAAUAUCUCCAAUUAUUUGAUCUAGCAUGUGGCAUUUAUUUAUCUCGAGCAGUUUCAAUUGAACUAAGCCUCUUACAAUGCUGGCAGAGAAUAUAAGUUUUAAUUCUCCACAACUAUUUACCUCUAGUUUCUGAAGAUUCUGGAAUAUUUGUAUAGGAUGCCCAGUGGUGAAUUCACCUUGACUUUUCUCUGUUUUGUCAUCUUCUGCUAAUAUAUGCUUCAAUCCAUCACAUCUUGAUAUUUUUAAUGUUUUCAAUUGUACCAAACGUUGAGCAACGACAUACGUGAAGAGAGAUGUCAAUCGUGGACAAUCAAUUAAAUAUAACUUCUCUAAGUUCUCAAAAGGCCCAUUGGCAGGUUGCAAACAAUGCCAUAAAGCUCUUAGAUUUUCCAUGUUAUGGAUUUUCAGCUUAUGCAACUUGGAGAAGAGAGUUAUCACCUCACUAUAAUGAUUACUAGUGUCAAUCAAACACUCUAUCUCUUUAGAAUUACGUAUCUCAAACAUAUUCAACUCAUCCAAACCUCCCCCUUCAAUUUGAAAUAUAUCAGGUAUGAUAUUUUUUGCCCCUCCCUGAAUAUUGGCUACAAAUAGAUCCUUUGCUUUUUUUGCUAAACUCUUAAUUACCUCAUUUGAAAUGUGAAAAUAGUUAAGUAAUAAUGAGUGGAAAGAAAUAAGUGAAAUAUAUUUCUGAGAUAUUUUACAAAUGUGAUUACAGUCUCUAUUUAUAGACUGUUUUACAACCUAAUUAAAGAAAGAAAUAAUAGGCAAUGAAAGCCAGAAAUAAUGAGUGUUUAAAGCUGUACAAAUCAAAUCAAAUCACUAACAAAUCUGUCCUAAUAAAUAUAAAAUAGAAUCUGCACUUAAUUAUAACAUAAUUCUCCUGAUUAUGCAACACUCCCCCUCAAGUUGGUGAAUGUAUAUCUAUCAUUCCCAACUUGCAAGUAAGAUCUUCGAAUUGUUUUGCGGGAAGUCCCUUAGUAAACAUAUCUGCCAAUUGGAGUCUUGAAGGGAUGUACUCAGUGGCUAUAAGACCAUCAUCCAACUUUUCUUUAAUAAAGUGUCGGUCUAUCUCUACGUGCUUUGUUCGAUCAUGUUGAACCGGAUUGUGUGCAAUACUGAUAGCGGACUUAUUAUCACAUGCCAAACUCAUAGGAGCUUCAUAUUUUAUUUUUAGGUCAUCAAGUAUGAUCUUCAUCCAUAAGAGUUCACACACCCCUUGAGCCAUGGCUCUAAAUUCUGCCUCUGCACUUGAUCUUGCAACUACAUUUUGCUUCUUGCUCCUCCAUGUCACCAGAUUUCCACCCAAGAACAUGCAGUAGCCUGUGGUGGAUCUCCUAUCAACAAUCGAUCCUGCAUAGUCAGCAUCAGUAUAUACUUUCAUGGAUAAGUUUUCCCCCUUUUUGAAUAGCAAUCCUUUUCCUGGAGAGGCUUUUAAGUACUGAAUAAUUUUAUCUACUGCUUGCAAGUGUCUUUCUCUUGGAUCAUGCAUAAAUUGACUAACCACACUAACUGCAUAGGCUAUAUCUGGCCUAGUGUGUGAAAGAUAAAUGAGUUUUCCCAGUGAAGGUUACUCGUGGACGGGGCGGUUAGUCUGCAUCCNNNNNNNNNNNNNNNNNNNNNNNNNNNNNNNNNNNNNNNNNNNNNNNNNNNNNNNNNNNNNNNNNNNNNNNNNNNNNNNNNNNNNNNNNNNNNNNNNNNNAAUGGGAAGGGAAAAAUACCACUGUACAAUUUAAAUCUUGGGUAAUCUUUUGAAUAGACAAGAGGUUAUUGGAUAGUUUGGGAACAUGAAGCACAUUUUUUAAAGGAAAUGAAGGUUGAAGGUGAAUGUUACCACGACCAUUAAUGGGGGUAGUGGAACCAUUAGCAAUAGUAAUAUAUGGCUUACCGGAUAAAGUAGUGUAGGAUGAAAAAGAAGAGGAAUGAGGUGUCAUAUGAUCAGUAGCACCAGAGUCUAUAAUCCAGAUAUUUUCAGUACUAGAAGCAUUAAAGGAUAAAAAACUAGAACUCUUACCACUCAUAGUAAAGGAACAAUAGCUAGAUGGCUUACUAAGGGAGUCCAUGAGAGUUCAAAACCAACUGAGUUUUUCAGAUUGGCAAAAUUUGAUCCUGUUCACACACACAGGAAAAAAAAAUCUGCCGGAAAAAUUUUCCGGUGGCGGUUUCAGGCGGCCAGCGGCGGUUUCCGGCGAGCAGUGGCAGUUCCGGCGAGCGGUGCAGUUUCCGGCGAGCGACGGCAGUGGUGGUCGUCAAUGGUGCAAGGUGGUGGUGGUGGUCAAUGGAGAAAGGAUAAGGAAAAUAGAAAGUUGCAGCAAUGAAGGCUGUCCAACAAAUAAUUGCAGCAAUGAAGGCUGUCAAGGAAAAUGAUUACAGCAAUGAAGGCUAAAAAAAAAUUUGCGGAAGCAGAGUCUCCUAGAUCAGGAGCUCUGAUACCAAGUGGAAAGAAAUAAGUGAAAUAUAUUUCUGAGAUAUUUUACAAAUGUGAUUACAGUCUCUAUUUAUAGACUGUUUUACAACCUAAUUAAAGAAAGAAAUAAUAGGCAAUGAAAGCCAGAAAUAAUGAGUGUUUAAAGCUGUACAAAUCAAAUCAAAUCACUAACAAAUCUGUCCUAAUAAAUAUAAAAUAGAAUCUGCACUUAAUUAUAACAUAAUUCUCCUGAUUAUGCAACAUAAUGUUUUGUGAUUAGAGCAAAAUUCUUCAUCAUUAUACUCAUCAAAAUAACGGGAUCCUAAUAUAAUUCCGUACCUUUGCAAUGUUUGGGGGACACUGAAGGUGUUAAAGAAUUCAAUAUUGUCUUCACUGUUAGCAUCCCAUUCUCCUUCAAUAUUAACAAUGUACAACUCUUCCAGUAGUGGAGUUCUUUUGAUCACUUCAAACUUCUUCCCUUUAAUGUCACAUUUGUUCAACUCUAACAAUUUUAAGGAUGUUACUUGUGAAAUUACAACAUCAGUUUGUAAUUCAGGAAAUGAAGGCAAUAAACAGCCAUGCAGCGAAAGACUUUGGAGUUUCUUCAUAUCGCCUACAAAAGUGAAGUUGCUCAACUCAUAACCGUAAAUGAGUAAAUAACGGAGAUUUUGUAAUGCUUGGAAAGACACUUUUGACAAUGGUGUUUUUCCAUCCUCAUCAUUCACAAGAAUCAAAACUUUGAGCAUUCCCAUUCUUUUGAAAAUUCCAUCAAAUUCUAACAAUUUUGUCUUUAAGAAUAAAAACUCAAGAUUGGAACAAUCCAAAUCAUUUGGAAAUUUCACACACCAUAGAUAUUUUACGAAAUUUUGUUCAAUAGUCACAUCUUUUUCCUCUUCGCACUUGAUGAUCUUAUUCUCAUUCUUUGCUAUCAAGUGGGCCACAUCGCGAACUAUGUCAUGCAUUUUGACACAUUCAUCCUCUUCAUCCAACAAUAAACAAGAACUAACGAGCUUAAUUUUGGCUGCAAUCACUUCACUCCUAGCCACCUCAUAUGAGUGUGCUUCUCCAACUACACCUAACCCUAUUGCGCAUCUUAUUAAAAGUUCAAUUGGAAUUUCAAAAUCUUCAGGGAACACAGAACACAACAGGAAAAGUGAUUUAGCUUCUUUAGUAUCCAAAUUAUCAUAGCUCAACUGCAAGCACUUGUAGGGAUCAGUCAAACCUCUUUCAAUAUUUAUUGGCUUAGAACUUCUCAACUUAUUCAAUGCAACACUCCAUAUCGUCUCGACUUUUCCCUUCAAACUACUAGCUACAGCUGCAAUUGCAACAGGCAAUCCUUUACAUUCAUUAGAAAUUAAUCUUGCCAGAUUCUUUAAGGUAUCAGGGGUGUCUUCAAAUAUAAGUGCUUUAUUUUGGAAAAGAGUCCACGCUUCUUCAUCCGUUAAAAUUGGCAGGUAAAUCUUCCUUUGACAAUCCAUCGAAGUACAAACUUCUUCUGAUCUAGUGGUAAUGAGAAUCUUACAGCCUUUAUGGUGUUCAGAGGAUGGAAUCCCAAUGCCCCCAAAGUCAAGCUUCUCCCACACAUCAUCUAGAAUCAUAAGAAUAUUUUUUUCUUGGGUUAAUCUCAAGCACAAUCGUUGGGCUCUCUCCAUUUCUUCGGUUUCUGGAAAUAUAUAUUGCAGUGAACUUGCAAUUUUUUCUUGGAUCCUUCGAACUUCCACUGUACUAGAAAUAGGCACAAAAAGAACUUUGUCAAAAAGAUGCUCUGCUUCUACUAACUUCCUAACCUCCAUUGCUAAGGUGGUUUUACCACAACCCCCCAUCCCAUACAGUCCAAUCAUGGCAACAUCAUUAUUUUUCACUGCUUCCAGUAGUUUCUCAUAUGCAAAUUGUCUACUCUCAAAAUUCAUGCAUUUUUCUGAAAGAAUAUUCAAGGUGCCUGAAGGAAGUGUAGCAAUGCGGUCAAAUGGCACAUAUUUUCUACCCUCUACAAUGAACUUUUCAAGGUCCACAGUUUUAUUUGCUAACUUUUUUCCUACACGGUGUCGCCAAAUCCAAUUUGGACAGUGCCCAAAGCAACAUAUUUUUUUUGUUUUUGCCUCUUUCAACAACUGACUCACAUUGUCUACGUUAAUGAUAGCAUCUUGCAGCCACUUGUCGACAACUUCACUAGUCUUUCUGGUUUGUCUCUCGGCAUGUGCAACAAAUGUUUGCACACUAUCUCUCGUUACAAUCAAAUCACCCUCUUCUUGCUCAAGCUUUUUGAUGAAAUUGUUAAAACAACAAGGAUAACGUAAUUGAUUUAAUGCUCCACACACUAAAUCUCUUGAAACAGAAGAUGCAAAACCCAAGAGACACUCCAUCAAUUUGUUCCACCAAAUUCAACUUUCUUUAACCUGAACAAGAGAAAAUGAACACACUCUAUAAGUUUUAUAAUUAUAUUUAGAUACAUUAGACAAAAACAUAUUUUAAGAUCAUUUAUUACAUAUUCUAGUAAGUCACUUUUAUAGUAAAAUUACAAAAAAAAAGGUUUAUAAGUCAUGUGUAGUAAGCAAAUUUAAUGUUUUAUAUCCUAAAUAAUUAAUUAUUGGAUACACAUUAAAAUAAACUCCAAUAACUUUAAUCAAUAGUUUUAAAAUAUUAAUUGUGAUAGAGUUUUUAAAUGUUUUUUUAUCACUUUGGUUAUUUUUCAAACAUAUUUUUUUGAAUAGCUUUAUUUAAAUUUUUUUUUACCCUUCCUCAAAAAGAAAAAUUAUCAUAUUCAAUGUACUUAAAUGACACAUAAAUAUGUAGAUCAAAAUAUUUGUUAAGUAGGAAAAGCAACCGAUGAGUACAAUAUGUAUUUAUCCAAAGGUUGAAUCAACUAGGGCUUAGGUCGUGAGCCUAUAUCAAGCUGAGUCGAUCCAAGUCCGUGUCGAGUCGAGUUGACUCAGGUCCAAGUCGAGCCUAGUUAGUUUGGGUCCAUGUUGAGGCUAGUUAGUCCAGACCCAUGUCGAGCCGAGUCAGUCUGAACCCAUGUCGAGCCGAGUCAGUCUGAACCCAUGUCGAGUCAAGUGGGCACGGGCUAGUGUCGAGUCGAAAUGACCCAUGUCCAUGUCGUUCCAAGUCGACCUGGGCCCAUGUUGAGCCUAGUCAUCCCGAGCCCAAAUCGACCCGAGUCGACUUGGGCCUAGGACGACCCUAGUUAGCACAUGCCCAGGUCGAGUCGACCUGAGCCCAUCUCGAGUCGAGCCCAGCUGGUCUAGGCCCAUGUCGAGCCGAGUGGAACAUGUUUAGAGGAGUGGGCUUGGGCCAAUGUCGAGUUGAGUGGGUACAGGUCCAUGUUGAGCUAAGUCAGUUUGGUAAUAGGUCGAGUCGGCUCGGGUCUAGGUUGAGUUGAGUUUGCCUAGACCCAAGUAGAGCCAAGUUUGCUUGGGCGUGGCCCGGACCUAUAUCGAGUCGAGUCAACUCGGGCUCAGGUCGAGUGUAGUUGGCCCGGGUCCAUGUUGAGCCAAGUUGACCAAGGCCAGGGAGUCGAGUUGACUCGGACCCAGAUCGAGCCAAGUCAGUUCGGGCACAGGUCGAGUCAGCCUGAGCCCAUAUCGAGCCGAGUCAAUCCAGGACCAUGUUUAGCCGAGUGGGCGUGGGUCCAUGUCGAGCCGCGUUGACCCUGGCCCAUGUUAAGCUAAGCGGGUUCAGGCCCAUGUCGAGCUAAGUCGACCUGGUACUAGGUCGAGUCAAUUCGGGUCCAGGUCGAGCUGAGCUGUUUUGAUACCAGAUCGAGCAUAGUUGGCCUGGAUCUAGGUCUAGCCGAGUCGGUCCAGGUUCAGAUCAAGUCGACCUUAACACAAGUCAAGCCAAGUCAGCUCGUGUCCAGAUCUAGAUGGAUUUAAUCUAAUUUACAAAGUGAAUUUAAUUAUUUUAAAUGAAUUUAGAAAAAUCCAAAUAAAUUUGAUCUAAUUAAAAUUGAUGUAAAAUCCAAUCUAUUUUGUUAGAAUUGAAUCUGGAUAAAAUUCAAUCCAUAACUACUCUACCCAAAAAUCACUUUAUAACCGUUCGUUAUACAACACUUGUUACUUAUAUUCAUUUAUUAUGAUGAAAUAUAUUAAUUCAUCAUCAGCAUUUCCCCCCAUUUGAUUAGUUAAGAUAGUUUAUCAUAUACCCUCUCUUAAUAUUUUUAUGAGACUAAAUUAAUUUUUUUAUAAGUUUUUGGUAUCUCUAUUGGAAACUUUGACUGAAGUGACAUUUUCAACAAUUAAACAUAUAUCAUCAAAUUGGCUAAAUUAGUAUGUUAAACUAACAAAAAGUAUAAAUUUGGUUUGACAGAAAAGCUUUAAAAAAUCGAAGUGAAACUUUUAAACUUUAGAACUAAACUAAAAUCUCGCUAAUGGAUCAAAACUUUAUUUUAGAAAAAAAAAUGAAUCAUGUUUAAUUAGAAGAGGCAUGUUACAUUUUAAUUAAAUAAAUUGUCAUAAAUAAUGAUGGUUAAAAGAGAAGUGAUAUGGGAACUUAGUUCUUCAUUAAAUUAUAUUAAUAUAUUACAUUUAUAUUAUAAAUAGUUUCAUAUAUUUUCUUUACUAAUAUGCCAAAUUAUGAGAAAAAAUUUAAAAUAUUCAUGUUCAUAUUUGAGAGAGAUGGACCAUGUCAUAAUUAUGUUGAAUUCCGAGCUAUUAUAUAAUAGGACGUUAAUUUGGUAGACGUUUGAAAAUCUCUCGACUUGAAUAGCCUUAGCUACUCAAUCAAGACAAAAUCAAGAAAAAUAAGGGAUUUUAUCAAUAUAUAUCGUAAGAGGCAUUAACAAGAAGGAUCAUCUUUUAAACACAUUAAUUAAAGGUGCACUCACUCUUAACUAUCAUUGAAUAUCCUGGGCUUAACGUGACCUAACCCUUUUGUCUAGAACAAUAUUUAAUUUCAAAUAAUUCAUCCUUAAAAAAUUGAUUAGAUCUAAAUAAACUUUUACAUUUUCACUCCUCUUACAAAGGACGUUAGCUCUCUUUAAAGUAAACUAUAAUGGUGCUCUUAGGUUUCUUCAAAUUAAACUAACAUAUGUGAUAAUUGAAUGUCAAAUAAAGAUCAUGUUUAUAGAAUUUUGUCAUAGACUAUAUAUGUGCUAUGAUUUUAUGUUUUUGGGAUGACCUUUAUAUUGCUAAAUUAAAAUGAUUCUCUCAAUUCGACUUGUGCUUGAAAUGGUAUUUAAUAGUUUUUCAGAAAAUAUAAUUGUUCAAUUUGAUCUCUCUGAUUGAAGAUAAAUAAUGUGAUUAGUAUGUUAAUCCUAAUUGAACAUUAUUACCAUAAAACUUGUAAGAGCCAAUAAAGAUCCAGUCAAAUCGAUUCAAAAUUAGUAAAAAAUUAUAAAAUAUCGUAGUUAAAUAUCGAUUCAAUUUUUUUACAUUUAGCUGAAACAUUUUUAAGAUAAAUGAUAUAUGUAAUAUUCUGCAGGGUAUAAUAAUGAUUACACUAGAUAAAUAAGCUAUUCUUCCUAUUUUGAUCUCACAGUUUUACAGAUCUCAGAGUAUUUUUAAUAGAAAUUUUCUUAAGAUCUCACCUAUACAAAUUAUUUCAUAAUAAUAAUUAUUUAUAAAUAAAAUAUUAUUUUAAUGGAGAUCUCACAGAUAUAAAUUAUGUAAAUGUAAAGAAAAUUAUUUAUAUUAAAAAGAGUUAGUUAAGAACAGUAGUUUCCAUAAUAAUAUUAUAAAUCAUAAACAUCACUACUUUAGUAUAGAAAACAGAAAACAGAUUAUAUUGUGUUUUCAUCCAUAAGAAGAAGCAGAUCUAGUAGUCUGAACCUGUUCAUCGUUCAUAUCUAACUAAUUUGAAAGAGGAAAAAUAUGAAAUAUUACCUUCUUUAACUAAUAUGUAGAGAGAGAUGAGAGAAAGAAGUGGUGAUCCAUGACUUCAACACAGGAGAAGCUGAAACGUUAAGUUACUGCAGAAACAUAAACACAAACACAUGAUCUACAACUUCAAUUGAAAAGGAAUCGAUUAGAAAUUGAAAACAAAGCAGAAGUUAACUUCACACUGAUUCAUACCUCCACAGAGAUGAAAGUACUCCAUUGCUUGAAUCGAUGAGAGAGUAAAAGAGACGCUGAAAGAUUACGUUACUGCACAAACACAAACACGUGAUCCACAACUUCAAUUGAAAAGGAAUCGAUUAGAAAUUGAAAACAAAACAGAAGUUAACUUCACACUGAUUCAUACCUCCACAGAGACGAAUGCACUCCAUUGCAAAAGAGUUAAGAAUGAACGCGCAGUUAUUCCAGCACAAGAGACGGUGAAACGUUAAGUUACUGCAUAAACACAAACACAAACACAUGAUCUACAGCUUCAAUCGAAAAGGAAUCGAUUAGAAAUUGAAAUCACAGUGAUUCGUACCUUCACAGAGAUGAAAGGAAUCCAUGGCUUGAACGAAGGACAGAGUAUAACAGAGAACCCUCACACUGAGUGCAAUACCGCAAGAGAUAAGAGUGAAAGCAGAGAUGCGAAGAGUGGGGACAGUGACUAUUGGUCUUCUUCCCAGUGAUAUUAUUGCUCUUCCUCUUUUCUAUCAAUUAUUAUUAUAAUAAUAAUAAUUGAGGAUGCAUUGACUUGCACUUUUAUAUCUUUUAAAAGUCUUUGUCUUCUUUUAUAUAAUAAUAAUAAUAAUUCUUAUUUUUUAUUAUUGCUGUGUGCAGUUUUUUUUUUAAUCUGCCGUACAUAUUUUGACAUAACAAUAAUUUAUUUAAUUUAUUAAACAAUACACAACGAACAGAAAAAAAGAAAACUUAUUUGACCUCCGAGUUGUACCAGCCUAAUUAAAGUUAAAAUGAUUAUUGUAAUUUUUUAAAUAAAUUUUACUUUUAUUUAGUAUGAAUGUUUCAACCCGAUUUAAGUUCAUCCUAAAAUUUAAUGCAAAAGCGAAAAGUGGAAAAUGUCCUUUUAAAUUUUUUAUAUUUUCUUAAAACAUAUUAUUUAAAACGUAUUUUAAAAAAGUAAACUAUUGCUUUCGAAGAAAAUUGAAUUUUUAUUCAAUUUCAUAAAAGAAUAAAUAAAAAUAGAAAUGGAUGGUUCCUUUUAGAUUGACAGAGAGGAGUAAACUGACUGGGAAAUUAGAACCAAAUGAAAUAUAUAGUAAAACACGCAUAAAAAUAAAAAUAAGGUAUUACAAAAUGAUGUAGCAAAUUUUGUUGGGUUUAUUAUUGUAGAGCAUAAAGAUACUUUUGGUUGCAUAUGGCUAAGAUAGUGGAAUGUGGAAUAUAAGUGAUUGCAGCAUUAGAAGAAAGAGGAAUGCGAAAUGGGCUAAUGUAGCACUCAAUGUAACUCCUUUUCCUUUUCUCUCAAACAUAAUUUAUCCCUUAAAUGCUUUGUAGUCACACACUAAUAGGACUCAAUAUUAUUAUGCAUGAUGGAAUCAUAUCCACAAAAACAUGGUGAAGUGAUUAAGGCAUACAUAAAAUAAAUAUAAGCUACACUCAUCAUUGAAGGAAGGAACAUAAGAAAUGGUUUUUGUAAUUUUGUCUCACCAAGAGCAAUCUCUUACACAACAAUAAAUAACAUAGCAAACAUACAACAAAAUAGAACAAAAUAGAACAAGCAAAAGACUGAACAAUAUUGUGUAGUUGCAAAUCUUCCUUUUAAGUGAUGAACAAUUUGGUCCUUAAUAACAGUGAUCAAUGAAAACCCUCAUGAGGAAUUUCUAGCAACCAUGCGAUUGUAUUCAUACUGACUACACAUAACUGACCAUUUAUAAGUCACCUCAAAUAAUUUUUGUUGAACUUUUCUUUCAUCUUCCACCAUUUGAGACUGGUCUUUCCUCACAUUUUCAAGCUCCAUUUUGUACCCAAUAGUUUCUGCAAUCCUUUUAUUUUUUUCCUCUUCCAGAGAGGAUAAGGCAUCCUCACAAACUUUUAUUUCUUCCUUCAGCCUAAUGAUUUGUUCCUUUAAAACUACUUCCUUCAGUUGAGCUUCAUCAUAGAAAUUCUUUGCCUCGAAAAUUUUGGAACCAAGAGUAGUGGCCACCUCAUUCCCACGAGCUUCAAGUUCUGCCAACUUAUCAGUGGUAGCAAAGCCUUGCUUAAAGGAGCAUACAAUGCUUGGGAACUCUUGCUGCAUAGUGCCUAUAAUAUCUUUGAGUCCAUCUGAUAGAGAUACAUCUUUGAAAGGAAGGUUAGACAGGAAAUUAAGAGCAGACAAAAGGUUAAUACUGUUAGUCUCAGAGCUAACUAUGUCCUUCAAAGACAUCUUUAGAUACUUUUCCAACUCAACAAAGAUCUUUCCAACUAUGUUGUCUUCACUCUCUUUCCCCACAACAACUGGUGCAAACAAACUCAUGAUAUCAUUGGCCCCAGAGUCUUGAAUAAUUUUAGGAUGACCUCCACUUUCUUUAACAGUGUGUGUCUCAGUUCGACUGCUCCUAAUUUCACUCUUGGAGGAAUAAGAAGAAAAUAUAAUAGUAAAGACGUUAGCAUCAAGCCAUAACAGUUGCAAAUCAUUGAGUUCCUUAAACCAUUUUUUAUCCAAGCAUAUUUGUUAGAGUGAUGAUAACAAAUUCAUUAAAUUUAAAUUCCAACUUAAAAUUCCAUACUUUUGUUUUUAAUUCCACUCCCGCGGCAAAUGAUAAAUCAAAAUGAAAACAUCAUUUUUAUGCUGACAAAAUAUGUUGGAAAUGUGAAUUGCAUAAAAUAAACUUACAUGUGUAUGUGAUUUAGUUUGGGAAGUAAAUAUUUGGUCAAACUGUGAGCUAGUGGAUUCAGAAUGAAUCGAUGAAGUUGUGAUACUGGUGUUCUUUUCUAUGGUUUUCUCUACAGCUUCUCGCUCAAUACUCUGCAUAAGAAAAGAAAGAUAUUUACUAGCAGGGUUGUUAUUAAUGGCAUGUGCACAUGCAUGUUAAUUUAAAAUAUUUGAUGUUAUUUUUGUUUGCCAUUUACCUGAGGAAUUUUGGAGCUACUUACAAUUUUUCCAAGUGACUUUUGUCGGUUCAUCAAGCACGGUUCACUAAUCCGCUGUUUGUCCACCAAUGCCUAAACAAAGUAAUGAACUAGUGUAAAAUCACUAUACUCUUAGCACUUCAAUUUUAUCCAGUAGGAAAAAUAUUUAGGCUCACAUUUGAGAGUGUUUCACGUAGAGGAAUAUUCAAAUAAGAUGGAGUUGGCCUUUCAGAUGGUUGUGAGUUUGUUAAUGAUGUUGUUGUUCUUGGUAUUUCUGGAGUGGAAACUUCAGCAACAAAUUCCUUCUCUGGUUCUUCAUUUCUCGCAGCAAUGCGAUCAAUAGAAACAACACCUAUUUCACCUUCUUUAUCAACCAAGUUAGAACUUUCUUCGAAGCUAUUGUUAACAUUCUGGGUCUUCACACAUCUAGAACUUCUUUUACAGUUUUCAUUAGACUCAUCACCUUGUUUAACAACCUGGGAAUCUAAUACCAUAUCCACACUAUUAAACCUGUGUAAAAAACUUAAAUUUUUCACUUUAUGAAUCCCAAGAAAACAUAGAAAUUGAUAGUAUGAAUCUUGGAAGAAUUACAAAUACCACUAGAAUGUAUAUUUAAAUAGAAAGAGAAAAUUCAACUUCAAAUUCACAAAAGAAGGAUACAUUUUAUCUGGACAUUAACAAAGUCAUUUAAGACUCUUAAUUUCAUUCAUUCUUUACAUUACAUAGUAAGAAGUUAAAUGAUCAUACCUCUUAGGAUUCUCAUCCAUUUGUCUCUCCGCAAUGUCCUCUCUCAGCUUAGGAUCCCUCGUCAAAACAUGUUGACGCAUUUCAUCUAUCAAUGAACUCUCAAAUCCAAUCUCAACAGCUUCUUCACAUAGUUUAUGAAACUCUUUUUCUCUUUGAGGAGUAACAUUAUCAACACUUUCCUUCUGAAGGAACAACAAUAUAUCUGCCAAAAUUUUCAACCUCCAAGCUUGAAAGCGAUCACUAAAUUUCUCGCAAGCAUUCCAAAGAUGAGGAUAUGUUGUUAUCGCCUCCACCAAAAGAGCAAUUUGUGCAUCAUCUAGAUCAACAAAAUGUUUAUACAUUCCCAAUCUUGUACGAAUAUCUGCAGAAGCUAUAAAAAGUUUGAGAGAGUGAUAUGAAAAUAUAGAAUUGAAACAAGAAAAUAAGAAAUAAAAAACCUGGAGAAAUGUCAAUAUUGUUGUUAGAAACAAUAUGUAUCUCCUCUUGUUUGUCCAAUAGGUUCAACCCUUCUUCUACUUGGAUUUCUUGGCUUGGCAUGAUUCCUGCCUUGCCAUCAUUCAUCUUAUCAUCUUGUUCAAGUAUGUCCACGUCACCAGACUGAAUGUGAAUUGCAACACCACUUCCAAUGCUAAUGUCUUCAACAUCAGUUGACAAAGAUUUUGUCUUAUCACCCUCUGCUGUAGACCCCUCUUCAAUGUUCUCAUUUCCUACUUCCCCAAUCUCCUGUAUAUCACAAAGAAAAAAUAAGAUGGAGUGAGAGACUCUAAAAGUUUGAAAACCACUAUUUUUAAUAUACAUCAUGUGGUGGUAUGAUAGUAGUUUAAACGAUUGUGACUAUACUUCCUUCUUCUUCAAGUUAAAUUGUAUUUACAUUCAUAUAGAUUGGUUGGUUCUUACAUGUAAUGAAGUGAACUCACUGCUAGCAGAAUCUUCAUCUAAAUUGCUCAUCAUCACUUCUAUCUCCCAUCUAUAAACCCUAGUGUUUCUCAAAUCUGUAACAAAAAAAUAUAUAUUAGAGAAUUCACGUGACAGUGAAACACAUAAAAAAAAAUAUGAAAUACAACCUUAACUUUCCAUGAUGGACCAUUAUAUCACUACAAUUAAAAGUAAAAAUUGAUUUAAAAAGUUAAUUUGUAAAUAUAUUUUUUUAGGUGAAAUUGAGGGAUUUCAAAUGUGAUCAUAUUCUAUGAACGAUUAACAGGUUUAAUUGUGGACUGUGCGGAUUCAAAAUAUUUAGCAGCAAAAUCACCUAAACUUUAAAGAGUUUACCAAAUAUAAAAAAUAAUAUUAAAAAUAUAAUGAUAUCAACAUGCAUAACAUAAUACUCUUAAUCCAAUAAUUUAAUAUUUCGACAACAUGACAAAUUAAAUUAAAUAGAUGAAACUCAUAUAAAUUGAUUCAAACAAAAGUUCUUAAUGUGAAACUAACCCCUCAAAUAAUUGUAGUCCAAAAAAAUUGUCAGUGUUGGAUAAAAAUUACAUUUAAUUUCACACUCGUAAACUUCCUUUUUUACUUGAGAGUUUACUUGAGAGUUUAUACGAGUUAACACCAACAUUUGCUCAUAAAAGAGUUUGAUGGUAAGUUACCUCGUUUUUUCUCUAGUCGUAAGAGCUUAAGAUUAAUUCAAGAGUUUCACAACUUUCCAAUAACAGUUUAUAUUGAAGACUAUAUAUAGUAUUUACCUUUAUAAGGAAAAUUUUCCUUGAGCUCCCCAAGAGUAGUUGUUGGAGUUAAAGAGAGUUUUGGACAUUCAUAGACAACACAAUUCUUUAUAUUCGGCAAUUCAGUCUCUUGACAAAAGUUUGAAAGAUGCAUAAAUAUUAAAAGUUUCAGUCUUGGAAGCUCAACUUUACUCUUUCUUAUCUCUUCACUUUUUCCUUGUCCACAUCCAACAAGCUCUUCUAGUUCAGAAGCUCCAUUUAUGAUCAAAAGAAGAAGAUUGGGAAAGUCAUUAGAUGCAGAUCCAGAGAUAAAUCUUUUGAGCUUGUGGCAAUGUCCAACAUGCAAUGCUUUUAGUUUUGGGAAGCAUGGCCGAGGAGAAAGAAGAUUAGAAUUUGUUUUAUCCUCCAUAUCAUCUUCAAUGAUUUGUUUUAAUUCUUUGCAUUUUCUUAUUUUCAGAAGAUUCAAUUGUGGUAGGCAUCUGAAAACAUGCUUAGGAAAGAUUACUUCCAAUUUUUCACAUCCAACUAUUUCUAAUGUGGUAAGAUGUUGGAGAUUAAAUGAAUUCUUGGAAGUCACCCAAAUAUAAGUCAUUUGAGGUAGAUUUUCCAACAACAAAUCCUUUAACCUUAAAUUCACUUGUUGCUCAAUCAUUCCUUGUCCAUUAAGAAAAAAAAUACCUUUUACUUCAGAAUUCCUUAUGGUUACAUAUUGCAAAGUGAAGAAAUGGUUCUGAAUUCC